rnacentral:rRNA from 1 species
UACCAGCACCCCGAGUGGUCGGGACGAUUAUUGGGCCUAAAGCAUCCGUAGCCGGUUCUACAAGUCUUCCGUUAAAUCCACCUGCUUAACAGAUGGGCUGCGGAGGAUACUAUAGAGCUAGGAGGCGGGAGAGGCAAGCGGUACUUAGUGGGUAGGGGUAAAAUCCGUUGAUCCAUUGAAGACCACCAGUGGCGAAGGCGGCUCACUGGCCCGGUACUGACGCUGAGGCGCGAAAGCGUGGGGAGCAAACAGG